UACGUAGGGGGCGAGCGUUGUCCGGAGUUACUGGGCGUAAAGGGCCUGCAGGCGGUCCGACACGUUUUGUGUGACAGCGGGUGGCUUAACUACCCGAGGAUACGAAAGACGGUAGGACUUGAGGACUCGAGAGGGACACGGAAUUCCGGGUGGAGUGGUGAAAUGCGUAGAGAUCCGGAGGAACACCGAAGGCGAAGGCAGUGUCCUGGCGAGUGACUGACGCUGAGGUGCGAAAGCCAGGGGAGCGAACGGG
rnacentral:rRNA from 1 species